UUAGACUUGCGGCUUGCCCACACCCAGUUUCUCGUAUACCUAAUCUUAUUACACGCCGCCGCCGUGACUCCGCCUCUCCCUCAUCCCUGCAUCCGCCAACUUCAAGAAUCAAAGAUUCUUUCAGAGGUAUCCAAGCUAAUCCGUAUCAAGUUGAUUAUGUAUCAAUUAAGUUGCAUUGAAAUUUGGCAGAACAGAUCACAACUUCACAAGCACCUCCAUUUAAAUUCUGUUUUUUAUUAAGAACCAGUACCCACGCACUGUCCUGUGAUGUUGAAAUUGAACUGAAUGUUUGUCAUUUGUGUACCUAAAUUCUUGAUGAUUUGCUAAUUGCUAAAAAUUCGGUUUUUUCAUAACCGAAACCGAAUUAUUUCGGUUCGGUUUCGGUUCGGUUUCGGUUCGGUUUAAUAGAUAAUUCGGUUCGGUUCGGUUUAGUAAAAAAUUUGAAUUUCGGUUUUCGGUUAUUUCGGUUCGGUUCGGUUUUGAACCGAACCGACCGAAUGCUCAGCCCUAAAGAAGACUACGAGGAUCUGGUAUAAAUUUAAUCUUAACUUUUGUUUUUUUGGCUUAUCUUUUGUAAAUCAUACUUUAGAUACAUAAAUUGAUUUCUCUUCCUUAUUUUCCAGUCAUUUUGGGGUUUUGUGGAUUUAUUUUACCAAUCACGGUAACAUAAAUAUGAUUAUUACAAAAAUCACCUUCUGUAAAGAAGAAGCUCAUUGCAUCAGUGCUUGUAAAAUGAUAGUGAUAUUGACAGAAAUUGUUUGUCAUGUUGUAUAUACCUUUCUGAGAGAUCCAAGAACUUCCUUAACUGCAUCUUCCUUGAAGCAUAAAUCUGAGAAACUCACAUAUUUGAUGCCCUGACUUAACGCCCAAUCCUCCAAUGCUGGCCGGCAGACCACCACUAAAGCCACACAAUGGUUGCGAUAAGGAUCAGCGUGCAACACAAUGAUCUCAACAUAAGGGCUGAUAACAAGAGCAGCCUCAACCUGCAAAUGCAGAACAAGUCGACAUUGAAAUCUGAAUACGAUACAAUCUGAA
rnacentral:lncRNA from 1 species